rnacentral:rRNA from 1 species
AAGGCCUUUGGGUUGUAAAGCUCUUUCGGCCGGGAAGAAGGGGUAGAGUGUUAAUAGCAUUUUACUUUGAUGGUACCGGAAGAAGAAGCACCGGCUAACUUCGUGC